UGCGGAGGGAUCAUUACACAAAUAUGAAGGCGGGCUGGAACCUCUCGGGGUUACAGCCUUGCUGAAUUAUUCACCCUUGUCUUUUGCGUACUUCUUGUUUCCUUGGUGGGUUCGCCCACCACUAGGACAAACAUAAACCUUUUGUAAUUGCAAUCAGCGUCAGUAACAAAUUAAUAAUUACAACUUUCAACAACGGAUCUCUUGGUUCUGGCAUCGAUGAAGAACGCAGCGAAAUGCGAUAAGUAGUGUGAAUUGCAGAAUUCAGUGAAUCAUCGAAUCUUUGAACGCACAUUGCGCCCUUUGGUAUUCCAAAGGGCAUGCCUGUUCGAGCGUCAUUUGUACCCUCAAGCUUUGCUUGGUGUUGGGCGUCUUGUCUCUAGCUUUGCUGGAGACUCGCCUUAAAGUAAUUGGCAGCCGGCCUACUGGUUUCGGAGCGCAGCACAAGUCGCACUCUCUAUCAGCAAAGGUCUAGCAUCCAUUAAGCCUUUUUUUCAACUUUUGACCUCGGAUCAGGUAGGGAUACCCGCUGAACUUAAGCAUAUCAU
rnacentral:rRNA from 1 species